AUUGAACGCUGGCGGCAGGCCUAACACAUGCAAGUCGAGCGGAUGAAGGGAGCUUGCUCCUGGAUUCAGCGGCUGACGGGUGAGUAAUGCCUAGGAAUCUGCCUGGUAGUGGGGGAUAACGUCCGGAAACGGGCGCUAAUACCGCAUACGUCCUGAGGGAGAAAGUGGGGGAUCUUCGGACCUCACGCUAUCAGAUGAGCCUAGGUCGGAUUAGCUAGUUGGUGGGGUAAAGGCCUACCAAGGCGACGAUCCGUAACUGGUCUGAGAGGAUGAUCAGUCACACUGGAACUGAGACACGGUCCAGACUCCUACGGGAGGCAGCAGUGGGGAAUAUUGGACAAUGGGCGAAAGCCUGAUCCAGCCAUGCCGCGUGUGUGAAGAAGGUCUUCGGAUUGUAAAGCACUUUAAGUUGGGAGGAAGGGCAGUAAGUUAAUACCUUGCUGUUUUGACGUUACCAACAGAAUAAGCACCGGUUAACUUCGUG
rnacentral:rRNA from 1 species